AUUGAACGCUGGCGGCAUGCCUUACACAUGCAAGUCGAACGGUAACAGGUCUUCGGAUGCUGACGAGUGGCGAACGGGUGAGUAAUACAUCGGAACGUGCCCGAUCGUGGGGGAUAACGAAGCGAAAGCUUUGCUAAUACCGCAUAAGAUCUACGGAUGAAAGCAGGGGACCGCAAGGCCUUGCGCGAACGGAGCGGCCGAUGGCAGAUUAGGUAGUUGGUGGGAUAAAAGCUUACCAAGCCGACGAUCUGUAGCUGGUCUGAGAGGACGACCAGCCACACUGGGACUGAGACACGGCCCAGACUCCUACGGGAGGCAGCAGUGGGGAAUUUUGGACAAUGGGCGAAAGCCUGAUCCAGCCAUGCCGCGUGCAGGAUGAAGGCCUUCGGGUUGUAAACUGCUUUUGUACGGAACGAAAAGACUCUGGUUAAUACCUGGGUCCAUGACGUACCUAAGAU
rnacentral:rRNA from 1 species